UACGGGGGGGGCAAGCGUUGUUCGGAAUUACUGGGCGUAAAGGGCUCGUAGGCGGCCAACUAAGUCAGACGUGAAAUCCCUCGGCUUAACCGGGGAACUGCAUCUGAUACUGGAUGGCUUGAGAUUGGGAGAGGGAUGCGGAAUUCCAGGUGUAGCGGUGAAAUGCGUAGAGAUGUGGAGGAACACCAGUGGCGAAGGCGACUCUUUGGUCUGUAACUGACGCUGAGGCGCGAAAGCGUGGGGAGCAAACAGG
rnacentral:rRNA from 1 species